CAUCUAUGGCUGCAACCGGAGAUCAAGCUGCCUUCAUUCUUAGCAUUCCAAAACGAAUAAAAUGACAGAUGAAACUCUUCGUACAUCUGCCUUUCCGAGCACCCAUGUAAAGGAAAAGUGGGCUAAAAAUCUGUACAUUGCAGCAAUUUGUUAUGGAAAAGACUGCUAAUUCUGGACUGUAAAAUUAUUAGAUGCUCUUUGAAGGAAAAAAAUACAAUUUGAAGUUUGAAACUUGAAAGCUUUGCUGUAUUCUUGGUAAUGAGUAUAGUGGAGUUAAUUCUGCUAUAAGAUCUCAAAAGAAUCUAA